rnacentral:lncRNA from 1 species
UCAAAUUAAUCCGCAGGCUCCACUCCUGGUGGUGCCCUUGCGUCAAUUCCUUUAAGUUUGAGCCUUGCAACCAUACUCACCCAGGAACCCAAACACUUUGAUUUUUCAUAAGGUGCAGGCGGAGUCCUAAAAGAAACAUCCAACGAUCCCUGGUCGGCAAAUAUUAUGGUUGAGACUAGGACGGUAUCUGAUCGUCUUCGAACCCCCAACUUUCGUUCUUUAUUAAUGAAAACAUCCUUGGCAAAUGCUUUCGCAGUUGUUCAUCUAUCAUAAAUCCAAGAAUUUCACCUUUGACUAUGAAAUACCAAUGCCCCCGUCUAUCUGUGUUAAUCAUUACUCCGAUCCUGAAGGCCAACGGAAUAGGACCGAAAUCCUAUAAUGCUAUCCCAUGCUAAUGUAAACAGAGCGUAGGCUGUCUUUGAGCACUUUAAUUUCUUCAAAGUACCAGCGCCGGAAGCACGACCCGGCCAAUUAAGGCCAGGAGCGCAUCGCCGACAGAAGGGACGAGACGACCGGUGCACACCUAGGGCGGACCGUCUGGCCCAUCCUAAAGUCCAACUACGAGCUUUUUGACUGCAACAACUUAAAUAUAUGCUACUGGAGCUGGAAUAACCGCGGCUGUUGGCACAAGACUUGCCCUCCAAUGGAUCCUCGUUAAGGGAUUUAGAUUGUACUCAUUCCAAUUACCAGACUCAUAGAGCCCGGUAUUGUUAUUUAUUGUCACUACCUCCCCGUGUCAGGAUUGGGUAAUUUGCGCGCCUGCUGCCUUCCUUGGAUGUGGUAGCCGUUUCUCAGGCUCCCUCUCCGGAAUCGAACCCUAAUUCUCCGUCACCCGUCACCACCAUGGUAGGCCACUAUCCUACCAUCGAAAGUUGAUAGGGCAGAAAUUUGAAUGAUGCGUCGCCGGCACGAUGGCCGUGCGAUCUUCGAGUUGUCAUGAAUCAUGGUAGCAACGGGCAGAGCGCGCGUCUACCUUUUAUCUAAUAAAUGCAUCCCUUCCAUAAGUCGGGGUUUGUUCUAGGUAUUAGGUCUAGAAUUACUACGGUUAUCCGAGUAGUAGAUACCUUCAAAAACAAACUAUAACUGAUUUAAUAAGCCAUUCACAGUUUCACAGUCUGAAUUUGUUCAUACUAACACAUGCAUGGCUUAAUCUUUGAGACAAACAUAUGACUACUGGCAGGAUCAACCAGGUAGCAUUCCUCAACGACGCUGCACGCCGCAUGAGUCCGGCGCACCCGUUUGGGUACAGAGAGGUUCAAGGCGAGCGUGACCGUCAUUCGCAAGGAACAUUUGUUUUGGGCAGAUAGGAGCCGGUGAAGGCCCCAUGCCCACUGCGUCUACCGAGUCAGAGAAUUCGAGCCGCCAUUCGCGGACCACGCCAUAGCACGACGAUGCGAGGAAGGCGUGGGUCACAAGAACAACUUUUGGGUUCACCCCAUUCAGGGAAUGCGAGGGGCGAAAGGAGACUGAUUGCACAUGAGUAAUGCCUAGGCAUUAGGUAUGCAGCACAGGAUACCGACGUCCGACAAGCCUAGAUUGCGCUUGAUCCGCGACCGACAUGGCAUGCGGGUUAGGACGUCGCUGCUCGAAGCAGGGAUCCAACCUAACCACGCAAGCCGAUUACCACUCAUGCGCCGUACGUGAAUAGCUUCGAAAAUGCACGCCCAACACCCACCCCGACGCCCGACAUGAGAUGCCGUGCGCCGACGCCGAUGCCUUCGUUGCAAGGCCAAUGCUAUCCCCGCCGUUGCGCGCCGCCCAAGGGGGUUGAGAAUUUAAUCACUGGUAAAGGUGUUGGAGGCAGACUAAAGUUCUUGCACGAGCACCGCCCACGCCCGGUCCAGCUAUAGCGUCUGGCAGUACUUGGCCGUGCGUGCCCCGUGCUUGCAGCGCCUCCGACGACGUAGCACGGACGAGCCAUGCAUGCCAUCAAACUUGCCACUCGCCCGAAAACAAGCACUGCCGUUCCACACCAAACGCGUCUAGCCCGGUCGAGAAAAAUGCCCUCGGCGGCACACGGUCGCCCCACGAGCGGUCGUCGACAUGUUUUUGUAGGCGGUCGUCGACGUGUUUUUAUAGGCGCCCGACGACGUAGCACGGACAAGCCAUGCAUGCCAUCAAACGCCCACAAAGCACGCCCACUAAGCCCACGCAGCACGCCCACUAAGCCCACAGGACGCCCAUGACGUCCGCCUGCCGUCGCCUCAGUCUGCCUCCAACACCUCUACCCCCCUUAUAUAUGCUUAAAAAAAAAAAACCCAUGUGACAGGAGUAGACAUGAUUUUUCCAGAGAAUCAUAAUGAAAAUGUACAACCCAAAUAUGCACGUUCUAAGGUACAAACACACAUUAGCUUCCACAAAUGACUUUUAUAUAUAUAAAAAAAUAGUUUUCAACAAUUUUUUUUAAUUUUUAUUUUUUUCGGAAAUUUCCGAAAUAUUAG